rnacentral:ribozyme from 1 species
UGCCCAGCAACUCCUAUCCCUACCUCCGCGUGGCACCGGCCGGGCUGUGAACAACCAUAGGGAAGA